rnacentral:pre_miRNA from 1 species
CAACUAGUCCCUCUGUCCCAAAUUUCUUGUCUUAGAUUUGUCUAGAUACGGAUGUAUCUAAUACUAAAAUGUGACUUGAUACAUCCGUAUCUAGACAAAUCUAAGACAAGAAUUUUGGGACGGAGGGAGUACUUU